rnacentral:lncRNA from 11 species
GACUACUUCUUAGAUAGAUAUGUAUAUGUAUACACAUAUGCACACACACACACACUUACAGUAAGAUGCUAACUAGUACUUUUUUUAAAUCUAGGCAAUCCUCAUCAGAUGAGUGUAUGUGAUCAGAAGAGGAAUGAGAUGUAAUGAGUAACAGUACAAUGAUCCCCACCCUCAAUUUCUCUCUCAAUCUCUUGGAAGUGCUGGGAACCACAUGAGAUCAUGACAGACACUUCAACGUGGGGGCAAGUAUUAAUCCU